rnacentral:rRNA from 12 species
GAUUAGGUUGUUGGUAAUUUAAUAGAGUACCAAGCCAAUGAUCUUUAGUUGGUCUAAGAGGAUGAUCAACCACACUGGAACUGAGAUAAGGUCCAGGCUGAAUUUUCGGCCAGCAGUGAGGAAUAUUGGACAAUGAACAAAAGUUUGAUCCAGCAAUACUAUUUGAAUGAUGACGGCUAUUUUGGUUGUAAAGUUCUUUUGUUAAUAACAAUAGUGAUGUUAUUUAAAUUAAUUUAGUCCCGGCUAAUCUCGUGCCAGCAGCCGCGGUAAUACGGGAGGGGCAAGCGUUAUCCAGAU